AGCUCCUGUUACGCAACAUGAUACCCACUUACCUGUCACAAUCAAUUUCUCACUGUCAUCAAAACUGUCUGAAGAAAGAGGUUGGCGUUUCCUGCAUUCUGACUCUAAGUCUGAAGAUCUUGAAUGGAAAGUCCCUUUUGCCUGGGCGGUGGAGAAACUACGACAAGCUCAGAUACAAAUAAACGAUCGGAUAUCUAAGCUGAAAGAAGCAGGAUUUGACCAACCAGUCAUUCUCCGACAUUAUGGUGAUACUGUGAGAGAAAAUAUUCCCAAGAAAUUUAAGGGGCAGACCUGCAAGACCUUAUUUGAGCUGCUGAAUGGAAAACCCCAAAUACCAGCAAUCAAGCAUGCAGACCCAGCAUUACGAAAACUGCAUUAUGGGCUGAUUGAUGGCUCAUCUU